GAUGAACGCUGGCGGCGUGCCUAACACAUGCAAGUCGAGCGGCAGCGAGGGUUGCUUGCACCCUGUCGGCGAGCGGCGGACGGCUGAGUAACGCUUGGGAACGUGCCCCAAAGUGAGGAAUAACUGCCCGAAAGGGUAGCUAAUACCGCAUAUUAUCUUCGGAUCAAAGGAUUUAUCCGCUUUGGGAGCGGCUCGCGUCGGAUUAGGUAGUUGGUGAGGUAAUGGCUCACCAAGCCGACGAUCCGUAGCUGGUCUGAGAGGAUGACCAGCCAGACUGGAACUGAGACACGGUCCAGACUCCUACGGGAGGCAGCAGUGAGGAAUCUUCCACAAUGGGCGAAAGCCUGAUGGAGCAACGCCGCGUGCAGGACGAAGGCCUUCGGGUUGUAAACUGCUUUUAUAAGUGAGGAAUAUGACGGUAACUUAUGAAUAAGGAUCGGCUAACUACGUG
rnacentral:rRNA from 1 species